rnacentral:lncRNA from 1 species
GACCGUCGUCGCGUCUCGCCGCCGCGCGAUCGUUCUCGUGACUGCGGACUACUUUCCUGCGGCGGACGAACGACCGCGGCAACGCGCACGCGUCGACCAGACGCGCACGCCACCUGGCACUGCCGCGAGCAACCGCAUUGGUGGCGCGUAGUCGUGCGACGCGUCCAUUGCGCAAGAUUGACCGUUGAGUGUUUCGAGACGUUUCCGUAACCGUUUGAAAUACGUUUUCCGCGCGUACACCGUUUUUCUGCCGCAUUCCGCGAUGUUCACGGACGUUCGCUAAGGCUUUUUUCUGCAGUUUUAUCUAAUCUUUCGCUGUCUUUCUACAGAAACGUUGCGGCAACCCUCACUGAACGAACCUAGGGUUAUGGCAACGUUAGAAUUAGGAAACAGGCCCUCGAAAAGAAUUUCAUCGUAACAUCCUAACAAAGUUCGAGUUAUCACAUGCGGUAGUGAGUGUUUUUUAACGAUAAAUUAUAUCGAAGAAAGUCGAGCUGAGUUUUUCCUGAGUGCUUCAACGACGAAUGAUUGCGAUGAAUCUGUAUUGAGAGCGAAGAUGAUGUUUCGGCGAUCCGUUGCUUGAUUCAGUUCUCCAGAAAGGUGCAUCGCCGCGAUUGUGAUGUCUUAAGGACGAGCAAGCGAAGUCUCUGGACGCGCGAGCGUGCGAGCGAACGAGCAGAAAACGAUCGCGCGUCAUUAGAUCCUGGUCUUGGCCUGACGUCUCGGAGGAACGGCCGACGUAACGUAAGCUUGCAUCCCGCCGCCGACGCGACGCGACGCCGCGCGUUCGACAAGGAUAAACGCCAGAGACACAACACAACGCGCGCGAGAGGAGAUCGGCGAGUAAGAGCUAGAGGCGCGCGCGGCCGGAGAGACCGGGGAGUGGGUGAGCCGACCUCUGACCCCGGCGCGCGAGGGGCGACCGGGGGACCGCGGCACCGUGGCGCAUAGCUCAGGCAUAGCUCGGGCAUAGGCAUACAAGCGCGCGGCGCGACUCGCCCGCCUUUCACUUCGCGAGGAGACGCGAAGGUACGAAACACCCAUGCACGCAGCGUGCUCGAAAUGGCAAAGUUGAAGAUUCUGUGUCGGGCUUUCAUCGGCACGAAAAGAAAGGCGGAUAAUGGGAUUAGAAGUUUCGUGUGCAAUCUGACUGCUCCUCUUACCGGGCGAUUGCAAAAUCGCGACGGGACUCGGGAUAAUCUUGUUUGGCGGCGCGAGGAUGCCGCGCCGGACAAGAUUUUCGUGUUGGAACUUCCGAAAGAGAAGGGUCUUCCUCCCCCGCUCGCUCUUCGCACAGCGAACAACACGAACGGGGAGUUUUUUUCGGGUCAGUAAUCGUGGCCUGAGAAAAGAGCUUAGCUCGUGUUUGUUUUUCGGACACGGGCACUAAUUUUGCGCGGUUAGGUAUCGUGCAGGAAACGGAAGAGUCUCGCCGAUGAAGAAGAAAAGGAACGACUCCGCGAACAUCCCGACGAACUUCCUUACUUCGUAAUUGAGAGCAAAGAGGAUGUGACCUCCGCUUUCUUUAAACAUCGUAUACCGUAAAUUUCUCGAAAUAAUAAGAUAGGGGUUACAGGAUUCUAACUAAUUAGAGAGUAAAUUUCUAUAAUUUCUUUAAAAAAUAAUAGAUGUUGGAAAUAAAUUUGCGUAAUAAAUUUAAUUAGAGGUGACAAUAUAUGAGAAGAGGAUCGGAUCACGUUCGGUUAAUGAUAUCUUUAAUGAGGAAAAUCAAGAUUACUUAAUAACUUCUGGAGAGCAGAACGAAGAUUUAUUCGUAAAGGUUCCAGAUAUCUUUUCAACUGAUUUGCCUCUCGAUAAUCGAUCGUCAUUGUUAUCCCGCCCUAAGGGGUUACCGAGGCCAAGUGAGAAUCAAGAGCGCGGGAAAAGCGAUAUUACUCCAAUAUUCAGUUUCGGGGCGGGUCGAGAAUCUCUCGCCGUCACGUUCUCAGGAUCGGAAGUGCGGUGUCGAUUUUGCAACGAUACGAGAUACUUUCUGCCGUCUCGCGUUAUGCAACGCGCGAUGCGUAUUUGCUCGUGUACUUCUCGUUCAUGAGAAGUUGUACGGCCGCAAAAUUUCCACGAUACGAUCUGCUCAGUGUGAGCGCGUCGAAUUCGAGCAAUUUAUCGUGAUACUCGAGUAAGCUGGGCAAUGGGCGCGAAAGAUCGAAUCGGAUAACCGAUCGACAAGCAAGAUAAACUUCUCAAAUCUCCGUUGCGACAUUCUAAAAUAACUACAGUUGUAAAAUAAAUAUUACGCGUUCUUACAAGUCUAUUAAACAGUUUAUUUAUUAUAAAGUGACUUUUCAUUCAAUAAAUCCUUUCUUACAAUCACUUGUUAUAAACACUUCAUCUGUUACGUAUUACGAAAUAGGAUUUCGUCACUAAACAUAUUAAACUCGAGAGCUUUCUCGUUACGCUUUUGUGGAUAAAUGUAAAUUUGAAUAAAUGCAGAGAGUCAACUUUC